rnacentral:rRNA from 1 species
AGUGAACGCUGGCGGUAGGCCUAACACAUGCAAGUCGAACGGCAGCACAGUAAGAGCUUGCCCUUACGGGUGGCGAGUGGCGGACGGGUGAGGAAUACAUCAGAAUCUACUUUUUCGUGGGGGAUAACGUAGGGCAACUUACGCUAAUACCGCAUACGACCUACGGGUGAAAGCAGGAGAUCUUCAGACCUUGCGCGAUUGAAUGAGCCGAUGUCGGAUUAGCUAGUUGGCGGGGUAACGGCCCGCCAAGGCGACGAUCCGUAGCUGAUCUGAGAGGAUGAUCAGCCACACUGGAACUGAGACACGGUCCAGACUCCUACGGGAGGCAGCAGUGGGGAAUAUUCGGCAAUGGGCGAAAGCCUGAUCCAGCAACGCCGCGUGAGUGAUGAAGGUCUUCGGGUCGUAAAGCCCUUUUGUUGGGAAAGAAAAGCAGCAUAUUUAUACCCCGCUGUCCUGACGGUACCCAAAGAGUAAGCCCCGGCUAACUUCGUG